GAUGAACGCUGGCGGCGCGCCUAACACAUGCAAGUCGAACGGCACCCCACCUCGGUGGGAAGCGAGUGGCGAACGGCUGAGUAACACGUGGAGAACCCGCCCCCUCCUCCGGGAUAGCCUCGGGAAACCGUGGGUAAUACCGGAUGACGCCCGGACGACGCAUGUCGCCCGGGCCAAAGCCCAGACGGGAGGGGAUGGCUCCGCGGCCCAUCAGGUAGACGGCGGGGUGAAGGCCCACCGUGCCGACGACGGGUAGCCGGGUUGAGAGACCGACCGGCCAGAUUGGGACUGAGACACGGCCCAGACUCCUACGGGAGGCAGCAGUGGGGAAUCUUGCGCAAUGGGGGGAACCCUGACGCAGCGACGCCGCGUGCGGGACGAAGGCCCUAGGGUCGUGAACCGCUUUCAGCAGGGAUGAGACAAGACGGUACCUGCAGA
rnacentral:rRNA from 1 species